rnacentral:rRNA from 1 species
GGGGAAUCUUGCGCAAUGGACGAAAGUCUGACGCAGCCACGCCGCGUGAGUGAAGAAGGCCUUCGGGUUGUAAAGCUCUGUCGAGCGGGACGAAAAAUCUUUAGGUGAAUAGCCUAGAGAUCUGACGGUACCGCUAAAGGAAGCACCGGCUAACUCCGUGCCAGCAGCCGCGGUAAUACGGAGGGUGCAAGCGUUGCUCGGAAUUAUUGGGCGUAAAGGGUAGGUAGGUGGUCUCAUUUGUCUGAGGUGAAAGCCUUGAGCUUAACUCAAGAAGUGCCCCAGAAACGGUGAGACUAGAGUCCUGGAGAGGGUCGUGGAAUUCCCGGUGUAGCGGUGAAAUGCGUAGAGAUCAGGAGGAACACCAGAGGCGAAGGCGGCGACCUGGACAGGUACUGACACUCAACUACGAAAGCGUGGGGAGCAAAC